GGAUAGCUCAGUCGGCAGAACACGAGACUCUGAAUCUCAAAGUUGUGGGUUUGACCCCCACAUUGGACA